rnacentral:tRNA from 1 species
GGCCAUAGCUCAGUGGUAGAGUGUCUGCCUUGCAAGCAGAAGGUCCCAAGUUCAAUCCCCGGCAUCUCCA